rnacentral:rRNA from 1 species
GCUUGUCUCAAAGAUUAAGCCAUGCAUGUCUCAGUAUAAGCUUCUAUACGGUGAAACUGCGAAUGGCUCAUUAAAACAGUUACAGUUCAUUUGAUGGUUACUCCUUACAUGGAUAACUGUGGUAAUUCUAGAGCUAAUACAUGCGCCCAAACCUGACUCCGUGGAAGGGUUGUGUUUAUUAGUUACAGAACCAACCCAGGCUCUGCCUGGUCUUGUGGUGAUUCAUAAUAACUUUCGGAUCGUUUACGAUGCAUCAUUCAAGUUUCUGCCCUAUCAGCUUUGGAUGGUAGGGUAUUGGCCUACCAUGGCUUUAACGGGUAACGGAGAAUUAGGGUUCGAUUCCGGAGAGGGAGCCUGAGAAAUGGCUACCACAUCCAAGGAAGGCAGCAGG